rnacentral:lncRNA from 1 species
UUCCUUGGGCAAAAACGGUAGGUUUUGGGUAUCUUUGUGCAGAUGACAUCUUUCUUCACAAUUUAUUUUUAUUCUCUAUAACAAAUGAUAGGCAUUCUAAACUUUGGUAAUCAUUGCUUUACAGAUCUGAUGCAAAGCAAAGCAAAGCAAAAAAAAAAAAAAAAGCUUCACUCCCAGCUCCUUACACAGCAGUGGGAGACUGAGGUCACUGGUUUCAUCCCGCACAGAUCCCAAAGUACAGCUUGGAGACGGCUACUGUCCUCAUGUAAAACAAAAUUAAUUCUCAUUGAUCCUGAUGCUCUCUGGAAUUCACCCAGCAAUACUGCAGAAUGAGUUCAGUUCAGAGAUGUUGUAGAAAUGCAGUUUUCUUUCUUGCUUGUAUUACUGUACAGUUAUCUUUCAUCAGUUUUCGUUUCCCACUUCAACUGUUUUACUUUCAUUUCACUACUGCUGAUCUCGAGUUUCGCUCAUCGCUGUUCCGUAUUACUGCGCUGAGGAGUUUCACUGGAAGGACUUCCUCUUCCCACUACUUUUUGCUGCCUUUGUUACGUAACUUACCCAUCCGUGUUUCUGGCAAGGCCUCAGGACCUGCAGCUGCCACUCAGGUGUGGUUUGUGUAAGCAGGUGUUGUGUAUGCAGCAGUGGUACCUGAGGCCCAGUGCACUGAUACCAGAGCAGCCCUUUAUAGGGUUAGAGUUUGCAGGCAUUACAAGGGCACUUGCACCUUGCCUGGGUCAAUUCCUACUUGAUGUACCAGCCACUGCUAGGCUGAACAGCAGCUGACCUCCUGCCCUGCCCUACUCUCCAGUUGUUCUCCAGCAGGAUACCUGCCCUUCUCGCCCUGCAGCCAUUUCCUAGACGAUCAUCCCACUCAGGUCUGGCUGAAGUCAGUCACAGUCUCUGACAGCAAUGUGGGCAUCUCCUGGCCCCACGCGGAACACCACAGCGAGCUCAAAACGCACAGAUGCAGGCAGGGAGACGGCUCAGUAGCAGACAUGGAAGCACACCGCGCCCGUUACUUCAGGCAGGAGACCGCCGCGCAGCGCCCCCACACUGCCCCCAAAGCAACAGCGCGCACGCCCCUAACGGCAGUUCCGGUCAAGGGCAGCGGCGCGGGCCGUGCCGCGUUGCUACGGUAACAGCACAGCCGCCAUUUUGCCGCUCUCGCCGCGACGGCUCCGUGCGCUCUGCGGGCGGGGCCGAGCGGGGGCUGUGCGCAGACAGGAGGCAGCGGUUCAGCUUCGCUCCCGGCUCCUUACGUAGCACUGGGAAGCUGAGGUCGCGGGUUGCUUCCCGAAGUAUAGUUUGGAGUGCACUAUGGCACUCUGAACAUUGA